UACAGAGGGGGGCAAGCGUUGUUCGGAAUUACUGGGCGUAAAGGGCGCGUAGGCGGCCUUCUAAGUCGAACGUGAAAUCCCUGGGCUCAACCCAGGAACUGCGUCCGAUACUGGAAGGCUUGAAUCCGGGAGAGGGAUGCGGAAUUCCAGGUGUAGCGGUGAAAUGCGCAGAUAUCAGGAGGAACACCGGUGGCGAAGGCGGGUCUCUGGGCCGAUACUGACGCUGAGGAGCGAAAGCGUGGGGAGCGAACAGG
rnacentral:rRNA from 1 species